rnacentral:tRNA from 1 species
GGGGAUAUAGCUCAGUUGGUAGAGCACCGGGCUGUUAACUCGUUUGUCAUAGGUUCGAAUCCUAUUAUCCCCG